CCUACGGGAGGCAGCAGUGAGGAAUAUUGGUCAAUGGGCGAGAGCCUGAACCAGCCAAGUCGCGUGAAGGAUGAAGGAUCUAUGGUUUGUAAACUUCUUUUAUAUGGGAAUAAUGCGAGGAACGUGUUCCUUUUUGUAUGUACCAUAUGAAUAAGCAUCGGCUAACUCCGUGCCAGCAGCCGCGGUAAUACGGAGGAUGCGAGCGUUAUCCGGAUUUAUUGGGUUUAAAGGGUUCGUAGGUGGUUAAUUAAGUCAGCGGUGAAAGUUUGUGGCUCAACCAUAAAAUUGCCGUUGAAACUGGUUGACUUGAGUAUAUUUGAGGUAGGCGGAAUGCGUGGUGUAGCGGUGAAAUGCAUAGAUAUCACGCAGAACUCCGAUAGCGAAGGCAGCUUACCAGACUGCGACUGACGCUGAAGCACGAGAGCGUGGGUAGCGAACAGGAUUAGAUACCCGGGUAGUC
rnacentral:rRNA from 1 species